GGGGCCGUGGUCUAGCUUGGCUAUGACACGCGGCUUGGGCCCGCGAGAUCCUGGGUUCAAAUCCCAGCGGCCCCA
rnacentral:tRNA from 1 species